ACUCCUACGGGAGGCAGCAGUGGGAAUAUUGCACAAUGGGAAAGCCAUCGAUGCAGCCAUGCCGCGCUGUGUGAAGAAGGCCAAUUCGGGCUUGGUAAAGACNCAUUUCAGCGAGGAGGAAAGGUGUGUGCUAAUACCAUACAUCUGUGACGUUACUCGCAGAAGAAGCACCGGCUAACUCCGUGCCAGCAGCCGCGGUAAUACGGAGGGUGCGAGCGUUAAUCGGAAUUACUGGGCGUAAAGCGUGCGCAGGCGGUUUGUUAAGCGAGAUGUGAAAGCCCGC
rnacentral:rRNA from 1 species